UACGUAGGGCGCAAGCGUUAUCCGGAAUUAUUGGGCGUAAAGAGCUCGUAGGCGGUUUGUCGCGUCUGCUGUGAAAACCCGAGGCUCAACCUCGGGCCUGCAGUGGGUACGGGCAGACUAGAGUGGCGGUAGGGGAGAUUGGAAUUCCUGGUGUAGCGGUGGAAUGCGCAGAUAUCAGGAGGAACACCAAUGGCGAAGGCAGAUCUCUGGGCCGUAACUGACGCUGAGGAGCGAAAGCAUGGGGGAGCGAACAGG
rnacentral:rRNA from 1 species